rnacentral:rRNA from 1 species
GGGGGGGGGGGGGGGGGUGGCGGGGAGGUGGGGGUCGGGCGGGCGGGCGGGGGGGUGGGUUCUCUGAUGUUAGCGGCGGGCGGGUGAGUAACCCGCGGAUAGCCUACCUAUACGACGGGGAUGCCUUCGGGACACCGGAGCUCAUAGCAGAUAAUAUUUUGACCCGCCUUGUUCCGCAGUGCACGCCGGUCUUGCUGUCCCUUAUGUAUGACUCCUCACUUCAUGAUCUAGUUGGUAAGGUAACGGCUUACCCAGGCAACGAUGCAUAGCCGAGCUGAGAGGGGGAUAGGCCACACUGGAACUGAGACACGGUCCAGACUCCUACGGGAGGCAGCAGUAGGGAAUCUUCCGCAAUGGGCGAAAGCCUGACGGAGCAACGCCGCGUGAGUGAUGAAGGUCUUCGGAUCGUAAAACUCUGUUAUUAGGGAAGAACAUAUGUGUAAGUAACUGUGCACAUCUUGACGGUACCUAAUCAGAAAGCCACGGCUAACUACGUG